CUCGCAUGUCAAGCCUCUGUCUUCGAUCCCUUUGUGCCCGAGCUCACUUUUCUUCCUCCUUCGCGGUCACUUCUCUUCCUCCCUCGCCACCGGCUAGACUGUUGUUAUCUUGUUCUGACUUCUGGGUUAAUUAUUGUUGACUAUUGGUAAUGUUCUGAGUUAUUUUUGUGCUAUUAUUCUAUUUGAGUUAA